CUUCGACUAAGGUUCGAUUCGAGCGUCAGCGAGAAAGCGUUGCCGCAGGCAACGACCCGAAGGGCGAAGCGCGCAGCGCUGAGUCAUCCUUCCCCCACCACCA
rnacentral:sRNA from 3 species